rnacentral:rRNA from 1 species
UACGAAGGGUGCAAGCGUUGUUCGGAUUUAUUGGGCGUAAAGCGCGCGUAGGCGGACCUGCAAGUCAGAUGUGAAAUCUCGGGGCUCAACCUGGGAACUGCAUCCAAAACUACUGAGCUAGAGUACGGUAGAGGGUAGUGGAAUUUCCUGUGUAGCGGUGAAAUGCGUAGAUAUAGGAAGGAACACCAGUGGCGAAGGCGACUACCUGGACUGAUACUGACACUGAGGUGCGAAAGCGUGGGGAGCAAACAGGAUUAGAA